rnacentral:lncRNA from 1 species
CCAUGAUGUAGUGUCUCACAUAGACAAAUUAAGAUCACUAUUAAGAAUGACAAAUCUUAUAAAAGGUUCUUUUUUUCUGAAAGAAGGAUUCGUAUUUUGCAAUUGCCAAUAAAGUUAUGCUAAUAAAUUUUGUUUCAACUCUAAAUUUUUGGAUAAUGAGGCUCAAAAUUUUAUGAAAUCUAUGUGCUGGACCAGCACAACUAGCAAAAUUAGGCU